UUUUAUGGAACCAACUUCACCUCUUUCAUUUAUCAACCGUUUUCCCCUUGAUUUCACAUCUUCAAAUAUCCGAUAGAUUAUAGAUUACUAACUCUAGAUCACCAAUUUCUUAUACGCAUCAAUGAAUGAGACCAUACCUACAUGAUUUCGGAGAAUUCUAGAAAGCGGCUCGGAAGUGAAGAUAGAUAUGGUGAGUGGUUUCCAUGCUAAGCUUGUCAACUAAGUAGUCUCCGUUGCUGUUAUCUUUUGUUUCGUUGUCUGUUCGACCUUAUAAUUUGCUUGUGAAAACCCUAGUUUUACUCUCCCUAUUUAUUUUUUGAAAAUUAUUUUAUAAACCUAAUUUUUUUAGGAUUUGUGUUUAGAGCCAUGAUAUGAAGCUAUUUAAUAAUACUUAUAAUCGAGAUGCAGGGAAUAUAUAUGAAAGAGUGAAAUAUGUGUAUAUAUUAAGCACUAAUAUAUUUUGUUUUGUUUAGUUUUAUUAUUUUAGCAUCAUGAAAACUAUUGAUAUUCUCUCUUUUUUGCUUAUGAUCUUAGAAGAUAGCAUUAGUAUAACUUUUUUUGAAUGAAAGGCUAGAAAAAUGUUGAAUAACUAUUUUUACAGUGUAAUGAUCAAUGAUUUCACACUACUUUCAAAUUAGUUUGCAAGCGAGCCUAUGAAUAGCUAUGAUAUUUUUUGCUCCCUCGAAAACAAAAUUAGGUAAAAUAAAUGUUUUUAUUGGCCUUAAAAGCCGAUUAUACAUAAGUAUAAUCAAAUUUAUAUCAUGUUUAACUUAUUAUAAGGUCGAAUAGACAACAAACCAAAAGCAUAACAAGGCAAGGACUACUAAUUUGCCAAGACUUUGCAUGGAAAUCAACACCUUAAUUUAGCAUUACAAGGAAGGUAUAUAUAUCUAAAGCUUCAACAGUCAAGAUUGCGUGGUUUCUGCUUAAUUAAUCGACGGCUGAGAUUGUACAAAAUGACCAACUCAAGAGUGCUCGUUUUCACAACUCAACUGAACUCAAUGGUCACCACUCCAUGGGCCACCUCUUCAAGUUCUCGUUGGUCACGGCCACCAUUGGUCAUGGCGGGUUCUUUGACCGGCCACCACUGCGAGCCGUUUGGGCUCUCAAUGAAAGCACCAAUGAUAUAGAGCAAAUAGAAGAAUUCAGUCCAAAAGACUAUUAUGAGAGAAACUAUUUAGUCUAUGUACUCUACACCAGCUAUUCUCACAACCGAUGUGGGACAUUGAGUAUGUAAUAGAUGAAGACCAAGAUUCAUAAAACAAUGGUUCGAAAGCCUAGCUUGUUACACUUUGAAGCUAACAUUUGUUGAGUGUUUUGGUGUGAGGUUCUAGUUUAGAGUAGAAUGUGUCGCUUCUCUUAUUUACUCUUUUUUGCUUGUCUACUUUUUUUUGUUA